GAAUGAAUUUCAUCUAGCAGACACUUUUAAGACUAGAUUUAGCUGCAGUCACAUUAGCUUAGAUAAUGGGAGAAUUUUUCUUCAUUGAAAAUGCUCCCUGUCGCUUAAGAAGAACUCACUGAGGCAGCCUGCCAUCUAGCUUUUUCACAGCAAAAUAGGCUUGCAGACUGCAGAUGAGAGACUCGGGAGCAGAGACAAUUUUAACUUAGCCAUCCCUAAUUUAUCUCAAGCUUUUUCAAUUCAUCUUCACUGCUCUGUGCACAUUGGAACACCAGAUUGUCAACCCCUGGGAACAGAAUGCAACCAGGGAACUAGAGAGCUGUCACAUCCUGAGAAAUAUUUAAAUUGUGCCGAUUUUCUUCUGGAGUGCUGAGCAGAGGGAAUGAAACUCUCCAUCAAGUCAUAGCUUUGCGGGCAAUAGAUCAGAGGAUACUGCCAGUUUUUCUAAUGGAUUAUUGUUAUCGGGCAGGUUCUUCCUGAAGAUAACAGUAUCUCAGAUUGAGGAGACUGGAGCCUUGGCAGUUUCGUGUCUUCCUCCUGCUAUAUCUGCAGUUGUAGCCUCCCAUCCACCUGUUACUCCAUAAGGAAAAGAUUGACUUAAAGGGACCUAUUCUCAGAGCAAUUACAGGCAAACCAUGCUCAACUUUCUCAGACAGCAGAAAUUUAUGAAGUAGAAUUCAGUCCCAGGAGACCUUCCUACGAUUUGAAGGGUGGGAUUAUUUGUUCAAAUAUGCUUUUGAAAGCCAUUUUAUAAAGUAUCUAAGAAGUUGAAUGCUUGAAGAUAAUAUUUUGAACAUUACAAAAUAUAUGAAUGUUUAAUUUCUACUCCUUCUUAUCCUAGUUUCAUUCAGAGAGGUUUGUGCAGUCACUUGUUCCAUCUAUCUUUCCCCUGAUAACACUUUACCUUCUAGCCAAUUUAAUAAAAUUUGAUGCACAAGUGCAGAACCCCAAACAGGAAAUGCUCUAGAUUUUAUAAAAUUCAGAGCUUGGUAGAAUGAGGUGGGGGGGGAGAAGUAUUUAUACUCUCCAAUUACAUACUAUACUGGGGAAAAAAUGUAUCAAGAGCUCAAGAGUUCUUCCCAGUCUGCCCCUUCAUAGGAUGAUUUAGAUUCAGUGCCAUCUUGGUGAUUUCUUGCUCACUCCCGCCUGAUGGCCAUGUGGAGAUCACAGAGCUCAGAUGAAAUCGUAGUAGAAGUUAAUUUCUGCCUAGGUGACAGGUGGGAAAGAGGUCAUGGAAUGAACAAAAAAUGUUCAUAAGGUAUUUGUGGAACAAAAUGGUAAACUGAGGCAGAAUUGUCAUAUACAAAGUAGACACCCUUUUGUGAGGAAAACAGCAUAAGUCCCUGAGAAAGAGAAAGAGUUUAAUUAGUUUAAUUGUUCAUUAAACAAUAAGUUAUGAAUGGAAGUUGAUUUUACCUUCUCUCUCUUUGUCUCGCUCCAAUUUAUCAGAGGGAGAGGAGGUUCUUUGAUGUUUGUAUACCUGGCAUGAGAUUAAGAAACAAUGGUUCAAAUGUUGGUCUGAGCAGUUUAUUACAAAUCCUAGUCAUUCAGGGAGAUGGGGAAGGGGAGAAGGGCGACAGAAAAGAUAGGAAAUAGAAGCAAGGAGUCUGUAUAGGAAGCAGGAGGGAGAUAGUCACCACCAUGUUCCAGUGUGGUUCGUAGUUCAGUCAUUGAUCUUCAGUAGUGGUGGGUCGGCAGGCGUUGUUCUGUUGACAACGGUGUCCAUGGUGACAACGACGACAACGAUGGCAGUACAAACUUAUUUAUAAGUCCAAAGUGGUUGAGUCAGCUCUCUUUUGAGUGACAGCUCGAAUCCGAAGUGGUUGAGUCAGCUCUUCUUGGAGUGGCAGCUACUGGCUGUGGGAUCUCAGCAAAAAUUCCUUUGUUAUCAUCUUCCGGGCCUUGCCAGCAGAUAAGAGGAAGCAGGGAUGCCCAUCUGCAUCCUGUUUUUCACAGGGCAUGAUGGUGUCGUUCCCUAAUUUUCCCACACCAAGCUGGGGCUAUUAGGCCAGAUCUUCCACCAGUAAUCACUCCUGAGCACUCUCUUCCGGAGGCAAGCAGCUCUGGAGGAAGGUGCUUUCAAAUGUCAAAGUGAUGUUGAUUGUCACAUGGUAGCACCCAUCAUUUGCCACCUCCAUAAAUCAGUUAAGAGUCUUAUCACAAGGAAUACCUCAGGAAGCAAGCUUUGAGACAGAAGACAAAGAAGGGUUCUCACACUCUUUUAUAAAUACUUCUGUGAUAACACUGAAACAAACAAACAAACAAACAAAAAAACAAAACAGGAGCCUUAGGAGCUGCUUAGGAUUUUGUAAGGAGUAAAUAUCCUAGAAAAUUAAAGAGAGUGUUAUGAUUAUAUGAGGUUUUUAAGGUAAACAAUUUAAUCAAAAUUUUAUGUACAUUCGUAAGUGCACAUUUACAAGCUGAAAUAAAUAUUUCUAUUUCAGCAUUGCAUUUAGAAUAUUAACACUAGAUUUCUGAGUUUUAGGAUUUACUACAAACACCCACACAUACAUGUAUUUCAUUCUUGAAAGGCAUUUUUUAGUUGUGUACCUCAGAAUAUACGUCUGCUUCUGAAGGUAGAAAUGAGUGAAUGAUGAAUUGGAAUGAUGAAUUAUUUUUAAAUAUUUAAUAAAGUAUAACUUUUUCUUCCUAUACCCACACAUCUUUCUAGCUGUCUCUCUCCAGCAAUGGAUGCACUGUUGGAAGCUUUGAAAAAAAAUCCAGAAUUACAAAGUUGCUAACAGAGCACAUGGGAGUAGCACAUGCAGUCAUUGACACAUUUCUGGGAUGGAGAAAUCCUUCAUGCAAGGCGGAAUUUCCAAGAGAAAAAUAAUUUAAAUCAAGAUAGUAUUGGACAUUAGGAUAAUGCUUUUAAGGUACGUCCAUGUUAGUUAUAAUAUAGGAUUUCUUGUAAUAUGUAGUUCAUAACUUCAUUGCGUAGUAUUUUAAGGUGGACAAGUUCAGUGCUUGAAAUAAAUAUCAGGGAUUGAUUUUGCACUAAUGAUAUAAAUGUCAUAGCAAUUAUUUAGGUCUCUUUCUCUUUUUUUCUAUGAGUUAAUAUUAGUUUAUCUUUCAAAAUUAUGUGGGCAAAGGCAUCUUGGACAUACAGGAAUGUUUUAUAUGUAUUCAUUCAAAACUAUGAAGCCAUAGUUUGCAACUUUUGUGCAAGUUUCAUGGAGUAAAAAUAAUUCUAUUUUUAGAAAUUUAAAUUUCUCUCAAUUCUUCUGUGUUCAAUUUUGUGGUGACUGAAGUUAAGUGAUGGUCUUAAAACAGACACUGGAAUAUAAUAUAUGCCAUGACACUGUACACAUCUAUUUAAAUUGCAAGAAGCAACAAAAAUGAAGUUUUGUACUCAAGUUUUAACUCUAGCUCAAAGUGAAGUUUUUUACUGGUAGUUUAUGUGAGCUUUGUCUUUCAAUCCCAUGUCUAUCACACUCUGCAAUGACCUGCAACAUAGUGACUAUUUAGGAUCGUCACCCAACUAACCAUAACAAGUUAUUAUACAUGCAAAUAGAGCAACUUAAAUUUAAUGGCUUACUCGUAUGUUAGUCCACAUAAAAAAAUCAGCAGUUAAAUGUUCUCUUUAGUUUACAUCAGUAGAAGAUUAGAGUGUGAAGUGCUCAUAAAAGCAAUGGUAAUGGGCAAGAUAAAAGGCUUGUCUAAUUUCACAUACAGUGUUAGACAGUGGCCAAUUUCAAUAAUUAAUUAAUACUUUGUCACAUCACAGCUUCUGACACCCUGUAGCUUAGGACUUUAUGAACUGGAGUUUGUCUCCUCAUCCUUAUAUUUGAUAUCACUUAACAACUGCAACAAGUUAUAUUGGUACAGCAUGUGUUGCUGAAUUUUUUUGCUGAAGAAUUUAGAAAACAAGUACUGUAAGUGAUUGAUGCCAAUUCCUAAAUUUAUUUUCUGAGUCCUUUGCUUAGCAUUAGAGUUUCAGAAACUUCGCAUGAGACUAAACUGAAAGAGAUAGAAAUGAAAAGAACCAUUUUAUUCUGACACUGCAGAAGUAAUGAAUAUGUAAGUGAAUGGUCACAGAAGUAAUGAAUAUGUAAGUGAAUGGUCAGUGAGUAUUCAGCAUCAUGCUAAAAACUUCUGUCCAAAAUAAGAGUAGACAAAUAAUGAAGAGACAACCUCACUCACUCAGUCUCUUUCUAUCUUUCUAAGUGUUUCUCUCAGUGUACUUGGAUUCUACUUAAAGUUCUAGAAACCAUUUUGCCCAAUCAAAUACUCUUGGAAAUGCAUCUCUAAGCAGACAUCUCAGUCUAAAAAGUUGCAGCACCACAUACAUAUUGAAGAGCAAUUCAAAGGAAAGUCAGAGAACAGAAAUCUCAGUGCAGAUGAAUAAUUGCCUAAAUGCAUGCUUCACAGUCUAUUGAAAAGGAUAAAAAUGGGAAAAUUUGAACAAUUUGAGAUAUGGUUUUCAAACUAAUUCAGGGACAAUUCAUCUCAUGAAGAGUACAGUACAAAUGUAUAUCUGUAUUGCUGUACAAUCAAGGGUUUACAGUAAGUUCUAUAUUUAUACAGAUCAUCAAAUGAAAGGGAUAAAAUUAAAAAUCUAAACAUGACUCAGUGUUCCCAUCUGCCAUUUCUAAUCUUUUGUCUUUAAACAGUGGGUGGAAGAUUGCCUUUCAAUUAUUUCCAUAUAUCUUUUUUUUCUUUAUGUAUCCACUUAAACCACCUGAUGCAUUUAGCAUAUCUAAAAAUUUCUUCAAACAUGCACAUAAAAAAGAUGUUUUAUUCUACGUCUUUCAGUCAGAAAUGGCUAGUCUGACAACUUUAUUGUGCAAUCAUUGUUUUGGAUAACCUCUCUAGAAAAAAGAUAAUUGUAACAGCACAACAAACAAUUAUAUCACAUAUAUUUUGAAUAAAUACUAUCUAGUUCUGCAAAAUUUUAAUGCUCUUGAAGUAUUCUGAUCUGCAUGAUGAGCAUAACUAUCAUAAUUAAUGUUCUUGAAAAGAAGAUCCAAAGUAUGAUUUACAAAUGAGAAAAUAAUCUUUUCCCAGUAUUCACUGUGAUAGCAUACAUGAAAGUUGUAGCUGGCAGUAGUGAAUAGUGACUCUGAUAGAAGAAUAAAUGCAAUUAAAUUCAAUAUUAAUUUUGAUUCAUAAAGAUAGAUAUGCUUCAUUAUUUUUGGUUUCAUAGCUACAUUCAGUUAGGAAACUGCAUCCUUACAUCCCCUGGAGAGGAAGUAAGGUUCCUUUACUUAUGUUAUGUGUAGGACAGAAAAUACAGAUGCUUUGUGUGUUAUGGUUACUUAAGUCAAAUCAUUUCACAUGCAAUGUUAUACUUACAAGUACUUUCUGUGUUGUCUUUUCUGAUUUUUAUUCAGAAAUCAGAUUGUCUCCCAACUACUUUCUGUACAACAGAUCAUGCAUACAUAUAGACAUAUAUAUACACAUAUAUACAUAUAUAUAUAUGUAGUUGUAUAUGGAUAAGUUCAGUUUAUGAUUCAGGACUAUAAUUGACUAUAACAUGUAAAUGCUAAAAUUCUUUGUCUAAAACAUCUUGCUUCCCUCAGCCUUUUCCUCUAACUUACAGCAUUCUUUAACCGUAUUACAAAUAUAAAAUCUAAGAAAGUAAGGUCUGUCUUUCUAUCUUUCUCUGUCAGUUUAAGUUCCUUGGCAUACAAGAAGCCAGUGAGGAGCCACUUUGUCUCCAUUUGUUAAAUUAAGUAUAUCGAUCAUGACCUGAACAUAAAUCUCCUAACUUUUCUCUGGUGAUCAUUUCUAAGUACAGUUAAUGUUCUUUGGGCCUAUCUCACAAGAAAUGAGUAACUUUACUUCUUGGCAAUUCUAUCUUUUAAGUGAGUUGUUAUAUAUAACCUAUGGAGACCAUCUGGAAAGACACUAGUUAACAGUAGAAGACUUAGUAGAAUAAAAAGCUGUACUGCAAAUGCAUUUUUAAAAAAGAUAUGCUGACAUAUAAUGUGUAUACACAGUAGUUGAAGUAAUUUUGAGUUUGAAAUAAAUAUUUAAUAAUAUGUUAGUGAGUAGUCCAAGAGACUUGCACUUAGCUUCUCUUUCCAUGUGCUAUAAAAUUUGCCACAUCAGCAGUGUCUUUGUCUACUCUUCAUGUCAUAGCCCAUCUGAGUACUGUUCCAGCAGAUCAAAAUGUUCAUUUAGAUGAUUUCAUACUUUCCAUCUUCAUAUGGAGUAUUGGACCUCCAAUUGGAAGGUUGUGUUACUAAAUUGCUACAGGACAUUCACGGUGUGUUUACAAAUUUGAAGGGCUAAAUUUCUUAUAUGUUCUUAGAAGGAUAUAACGUGAUUCUCUAAUAAUAAGGACUGUGUUGUUACUAGAUCUUCCAGUAAAGUUAUUGUCGCAGUCUUGAAAGAAUAAAUUUCAUUUCUUUAUCAGAAAUCACUAACCUUAUAAAAUUCUUUUUCCAUAAUUUCAUUGAAUCGUAGUCUAUGAAAUCCUCACACUUAACUAUAGUUUCAAGUUGUACAAUACAUUAUCUGUGAGAAUACCUUAACUGAAUAUGUGCAGACGUUACAGCAAAUACCUGAAAAUAUAAAUAGCAACAAGUUUUACUGGUAGUAGAUUUUUUAGCCUUCUGGAUUUAACUCUGUUGCUCAUAAAUAUAGUAAAAUACUGGAUUAGGUAACUCUUCAAAAAUUUCUCUAGGUGUUUUUUUUUUUUUUUUUCUGUGAUUGAAUCUGCUCCUUCUUGAAACCUUAAAAUGAUCGGUUAUGGAGCAUUUGAUAAAUUACUAAGUGUGGCAGAUGUUCCAACCCUUGCUGUAUCAAUAGUUGCAAGUACUGAAAGUGUGUUUUUGUCAGUAAUUGGACAAAACCUGAGGUGAACUUUAAUCUUUUACAGAACUAUGUGAAAACACUUUUAGAAAUGUUAGUAAUCAGAUUAGCCCAAUAUUAAAUAACAUAUCCUGACCCUACUUACCUGAUCUUAAUCCAAAAUCAGGUGAGUUUCAAAGGGCUAAUAUCAUCUAUUUAUGUUCACAUAGUCUAGUCUGUAAUCAAGAUCAAGUUCUAGUUAUAUUAAAUUCUAGUUAUGUCAAUGUCUUAGGUCUAAUUAAAAAAAAAAAAAAAGACAUUGAAAAUCCAGCAAAUCUGUCAUUCAGGGAUGGACUAUUUUAGUCUUCAGUAUGUGUCUCCUACAGGAAUUUAUUUUGUCAUUUGUUGUUGGUUGCUGGGAUGCUACAAAAUUCUGUUUCACUUUUUCACAUCCACUUCUGUUGUAUUUAUAUCAUAAAGAUUUUGAAAAAGCUAUGAUAGUCUUGAUUUAGCACAUUCCUACCUUCAGGCUGCUUUUCUCCAUCUCAGAUGUCCUAGUGAAGUUUUAUAAGUUAGGUUAUAUGAAGUAUUAAAUGUAUAGUAUUACUAGAUUAGCAAUCAUUUCUCCUUGUGAACACCAUAUGAAAACUAGACAUGAUAACACAUAUUGCAAAACAGAAAAGUAUUUUGCAUUUUGACAUAUUCUCUUUUCCCUUAACAUGCACAGAUAGUUUCUAGAUGGACUUACUAUGUGACUCCUACAGAAAGCAAGAAAUUAAGUACUUUGUAGUUAAGCACAUUCUUUUAUUUUGAAUUAUUUUGUUCUUUAAAAAAUAUAUAAUGUAAAUUAUGGUGGCUUUUUUGUUCAUUUGUUUGUUUGUUUGUUUUUUAAUAUUACCAGCAAUGAACGAAAUGUAAGAUUUUUAGAUUUCUGCAUGGACUUACUGAAAGCAUUAAAAAACCUUAAUUGCUGGUCUACAUAGCAAUAUUAUCAUUACAGAACACAGCUGGCCUUUGAAAAUAUGUGGACAACCUAAUGUUCCAACUUGUAUGUUAUAUCACUGUUCAAACAUUGAUUUGUUUGAUUGGGUAGGGUAUCUUUAUAGAAUAUGGUAACAGUUGCACUUCAAAGCUGCUUAGUAAGGUGAUGUCUAACUAUUGUGACUCUUGAACAUAAUAUUUAGGAAGUAAGUG
ensembl:lncRNA